UACGUAGGUGGCAAGCGUUACUCGGAAUCACUAGGCGUAAAGCGCAGGUAGGCGGUUUGGUAAGUCUUUUGUGAAAGCUCCCGGCUCAACUGGGAGAGGUCAAAGGAAACUACUAGGCUAGAGUGUGGUAGGGGAUACUGGAAUUCCUGGGUGUAGCGGUGAAAUGCGUAGAUAUCAGGAGGAAUACCUAUGGCGAAAGCAGGUAUCUGGGCCAUCACUGACGCUGAGCUGCGAAAGCUAGGGGAGCAAACAGG
rnacentral:rRNA from 1 species